AUACCCAAUGAUAUCUCUAGAAGACAUCUGAAAGAGAUUAAAGAUUUAUCGGUGAUGGAUGGGGAUGCGUCUGAUUAGCUUGUUGGCGGGGUAACGGCCCACCAAGGCGACGAUCAGUAGGGGUUCUGAGAGGAAGGUCCCCCACAUUGGAACUGAGACACGGUCCAAACUCCUACGGGAGGCAGCAGUGAGGAAUAUUGGUCAAUGGACGAGAGUCUGAACCAGCCAAGUAGCGUGCAGGAUGACGGCCCUAUGGGUUGUAAACUGCUUUUAUAAGGGAAUAAAGUGAGCCUCGUGAGGCUUUUUGCGUGUACCUUAUGAAUAAGGACCGGCUAAUUCCGUGCCAGCAGCCGCGGUAAUACGGAAGGUCCGGGCGUUAUCCGGAUUUAUUGGGUUUAAAGGGAGCGUAGGCCGGAGAUUAAGCGUGUUGUGAAAUGUAGACGCUCAACGUCUGCACUGCAGCGCGAACUGGUUUCCUUGAGUACGCACAAAGUGGGCGGAAUUCGUGGUGUAGCGGUGAAAUGCUUAGAUAUCACGAAGAACUCCGAUUGCGAAGGCAGCUCACUGGAGCGCAACUGACGCUGAAGCUCGAAAGUGCGGGUAUCGAACAGGAUUAGAUACCCUGGUAGUCCGCACGGUAAACGAUGGAUGCCCGCUGUUGGUCUGAAUAGGUCAGCGGCCAAGCGAAAGCAUUAAGCAUCCCACCUGGGGAGUACGCCGGCAACGGUGCAACUCAAAGGAAUUGACGG
rnacentral:rRNA from 1 species